rnacentral:rRNA from 1 species
UAACGCGAAGAACCUUACCAAAGCUUGACAUACACCGGAAACGGCCAGAGAUGGUCGCCCCCUUGUGGUCGGUGUACAGGUGGUGCAUGGUUGUCGUCAGCUCGUGUCGUGAGAUGUUGGGUUAAGUCCCGCAACGAGCGCAACCCUCGUUCUAUGUUGCCAGCGCGUUAUGGCGGGGACUCAUAGGAGACUGCCGGGGUCAACUCGGAGGAAGGCGGGGAUGACGUCAAAUCAUCAUGCCCCUUAUGUCUUGGGCUUCACGCAUGCUACAAUGGCCGGUACAAAGGGCUGCAAUACCGUAAGGUGGAGCGAAUCCCAAAAAGCCGGUCUCAGUUCGGAUUGAGGUCUGCAACUCGACCUCAUGAAGUCGGAGUCGCUAGUAAUCGCAGAUCAGCA